rnacentral:rRNA from 1 species
CAGUCGCCACGGUAAUACGAAGGGUGCAAGCGUUACUCGGAAUUACUGGGCGUAAAGCGUGUGUAGGUGGUUGUUUAAGUCUGUCGUGAAAGCCCUGGGCUCAACCUGGGAAUUGCGAUGGAUACUGGGCGACUAGAGUGCGGUAGAGGAUAGUGGAAUUUCCGGUGUAGCAGUGAAAUGCGUAGAGAUCGGAAGGAACAUCUGUGGCGAAGGCGACUAUCUGGGCCAACACUGACACUGAGACACGAAAGCGUGGGGAGCAAGCAGGAUUAGAUACCCCAGUAGUCCCUGUCUCUUAUAC